rnacentral:rRNA from 1 species
GACGUAGGGGGCCAGCGUUGUUCGGAAUUACUGGGUGUAAAGGGUUCGUAGGCGGUGCGGCAAGUCGGGAGUGAAAUCUCUGGGCUCAACCCAGAGACUGCUUCCGAAACUGCUGUGCUUGAGUGUGAGAGAGGCUCGUGGAAUUGCAGGUGUAGCGGUGAAAUGCGUAGAUAUCUGCAGGAACACCCGUGGCGAAAGCGGCGAGCUGGAUCACUACUGACGCUGAGGAACGAAAGCUAGGGGAGCAAACAGG